UUGAAAUUUUUUAAAUGUUCUUUAUAAAACCAUAUUUACCUGAUAAAAACUUUUUUCCAAGAAUGUAGAAGUGUCACAAUCGGUCAUAAAGAUAUUUUUGUCUCACAAAACUUGUUUAUUGCAUUGCUCCUCUCUGUGAGAAGAACCUGCGCUAUGUUCAUAGGAGUGCUUUCCCGGACAGGGUUAGAUGAAUCCAGGACUAGGCCUUCGUUAUAUUAAGACAUUUAAGGCAGACCCACUGAGAGAUGCUUGAAACUUUAUUGGACGUUUGUGAGUGUAUAUACACACAUAAGAGAGGCUAAUAGGAUUUCCCAGCCCCAGGCUACAGCGGGGAGAGACUGAGCGUGUGGAAGUGUGCAGGAAAGGAGCGGGGAGGCAGAUUGCGGGAGGUGAUAGGAGAGGUGACAAAGCAGGAGGUUCGAGCAGGUGGAGCCUUCAAAUUAUCUCCGCAGCACAUAAUAAUAAUUACUGAGGACGGCGGAGAGGAGAUAAGGGAGAAGCGGACGAGGGAGAGAAGGGAGGGAGAGACGGAGCCUGAGAAAGAGUGAGUGUGAAAAAUACUGCUGCCAGUGAAAGAGAAAGAGAGAGAGAGAGAAAGAGAGAGAAAGACAGACAGAGUAAAAGAGAGGUUGAAGAAUUAUUAUUGCUGCUAUGUUGGUGAUGGAAUUGGGUGGGUGUGGGUUGUUCAAAGGGAACAACAAUGUUAAUGUGUCUAUAAUAUGCAGAUGUGUAUUUUCUUCGUAUGAAGAGAUUUUUAUGUAUCAGUGCCUGUAAAGUUACAGAAAUCUAUUUUAACAUUUAAUUACAUGUCUAUGAUUUCCACUGUUUUAGUGACAAUUCACUAGUUGAGUGAGUUUUUCAAGGUUACAUAAAGUUUUAAUUGUUGUAAUUGUAAAAGUUGGGGGAAAACACUGAGAAUAAAAUAAAAUUAACCUUUCGACGAAGGUUUGUUAAAACAACUUAAACUGAAUUAUAAAGUCAUCAAUGCAAUCCUUUAUACUUUCCUGUUUUCUGAUAAAGACAUUCAAUUUAAACAGACAACUUUUAUGGCCUUUGAAAGUCAUCAGGGAAAAAAACAUACUAAUAA